rnacentral:rRNA from 1 species
AUUGAACGCUGGCGGCAGGCCUAACACAUGUAAGUCGAGCGGAUGAGGGGUGCUUGCACCCCGAUUCAGCGGCGGACGGGUGAGUAAUGCCUAGGAAUCUGCCCGAUAGUGGGGGACAACGUUUCGAAAGGAACGCUAAUACCGCAUACGUCCUACGGGAGAAAGUGGGGGCUCUUCGGACCUCACGCUAUCGGAUGAGCCCGGGUCGGAUUAGCUAGUUGGUGGGGUAAAGGCUCACCAAGGCGACGAUCCGUAACUGGUUGGAGAGGAUGAUCAGUCACACUGGAACUGAGACACGGUCCAGACUCCUACGGGAGGCAGCAGUGGGGAAUAUUGGACAAUGGGCGAAAGCCUGAUCCAGCCAUGCCGCGUGUGUGAAGAAGGUCUUCGGAUUGUAAAGCACUUUAAGUCGGGAGGAAGGGCUGUAGGUUAAUACCUUGCAGCCUUGACGUUACCGACAGAAUAAGCACCGGCUAACUUCGUGCCAGCCGCCGCGGUAACAC